AGCGAACGCUGGCGGCAGGCUUAACACAUGCCAGUCGAGCGGGCACUUUCGGGUGUCAGCGGCGGACGGGUGAGUAACGCGUGGGAACGUGCCCUCUGGUUCGGAAUAACUCAGGGAAACUUGAGCUAAUACCGGAUACGCCCUUUUGGGGAAAGGCUUGCUGCCGGAGGAUCGGCCCGCGUCUGAUUAGCUAGUUGGUGAGGUAACGGCUCACCAAGGCGACGAUCAGUAGCUGGUCUGAGAGGAUGAUCAGCCACACUGGGACUGAGACACGGCCCAGACUCCUACGGGAGGCAGCAGUGGGGAAUAUUGGACAAUGGGCGCAAGCCUGAUCCAGCCAUGCCACGUGAGUGAUGAAGGCCUUAGGGUUGUAAAGCUCUUUUAUCCGGGACGAUAAUGACGGUACCGGAGGAAUAAGCCCCGGCUAACUUCGUG
rnacentral:rRNA from 1 species